UUUGGUGAAGGUGGGAGUGAAGAUGACAUGAUGAUGGUGGUGAAGAUGAUGAUUCUCCAUGGUUUUUCUUCCUUUCCUCCAAGCUCUUCUUUCCUUUUUCUCUCUUCUUCUUUCCUUCUCUUUCUUUUCUUUUUCCUUUCUGAUAUCUCUCACUCUCUCUUACCUACUUCUUCUUAUCCUUUUCUUCUUCUCUUUCUUUCUAACCACACAAAUUACAUAUAUAAUAUUUAUAAUAUCAAGUAGUAAUAAAAAUAUCCCAAUUGAUAUUUUAUCUUCCAACACCAAUUGAC
rnacentral:lncRNA from 1 species